GACGAACGCUGGCGUCGUGCUUAACACAUGCCAGUCGAACGGAAAGGCCCUGCUUGCAGGGUACUCGAGUGGCGAACGGGUGAGUAACACGUGGGUGAUCUGCCCUGCACUUCGGGAUAAGCCUGGGAAACUGGGUCUAAUACCGGAUAGGAGCCAUUUUUAGUGUGAUGGUUGGAAAGUUUUUUCGGUGUAGGAUGAGCUCGCGGCCUAUCAGCUUGUUGGUGGGGUAAUGGCCUACCAAGGCGGCGACGGGUAGCCGGCCUGAGAGGGUGGACGGCCACAUUGGGACUGAGAUACGGCCCAGACUCCUACGGGAGGCAGCAGUGGGGAAUAUUGCACAAUGGGCGCAAGCCUGAUGCAGCGACGCCGCGUGGGGGAUGACGGCCUUCGGGUUGUAAACUCCUUUCGCUAGGGACGAAGCUUUUUGGGACGGUACCGAGAUAAGAAGCACCGGCUAACUACGG
rnacentral:rRNA from 1 species